ACCAGCAGCUGCAAACACCCUGUGGCAGAACGCCCCGCCAUGCCAUGUCCCCAGAACUUGUAAGCGGGCCAGUGGGCUGGAGCAGAAGGAGACCAUGUGAGCAUGUACUGAGCUAAGUCUGUCACACGGCCCGUUCUGUUGCGUACUCACAACAACCGAUGACACCUGGUUGAUAGAAGUAGAAUUCAUUGGUUCAUCGGUUAGAUAUGAAACCCAGCGCUCAACCCAACAGGUGCCCUCCUCAAUGCCCAUCCCCCAUCUACCCCAUCCCCUGCCCUCCUCCCUCCAUUAAUCCUCGGCUUGUUCUCCAUCAUUAAGAGUCUCCUGUGGUAUGUUUCCCUUUCUGUCUCCCUCCCCUUCCCAUA